rnacentral:lncRNA from 1 species
GGCAUUUCCGCUGUCACCAUGUCUACCAGCAACAGCUGAUUGAGAAGCAGAAGAAGAAACUUGAGGAACAGCAGAAAACCAUUCAGAAGCUGAAGGCAAACCAGUGGUUGGCUGAGGCCCGGCAGGCAUCUGAACGUACCACAGCGGCUACAGGAGGACACAGCUGCAGUCAAUCAAAUCUCAGAGGAGCAGGGGACCUGCAGGGAACCUGCCAGAGACUUCUGAACCAUGGAAGAGAGAGCAAUUCAACGAGCUGAACGUAGGCAGAUCUUGGCA